rnacentral:rRNA from 1 species
CAGUCGCCGCGGGAAUACGUAGGUGGCAAGCGUUGUCCGGAAUUAUUGAGCGUAAAGGGCUCGCAGGCGGUUUCUUAAGUCUGAUGUGAAAGCCCCCGGCUCAACCGGGGAGGGUCAUUGGAAACUGGGAAACUUGAGUGCAGAAGAGGAGAGUGGAAUUCCACGUGUAGCGGUGAAAUGCGUAGAGAUGUGGAGGAACACCAGUGGCGAAGGCGACUCUCUGGUCUGUAACUGACGCUGAGGAGCGAAAGCGUGGGGAGCGAACAGGAUUAGAGACCCGAGUAGUCCCUGUCUCUUAUAC